rnacentral:rRNA from 1 species
AACGAACGCUGGCGGCAGGCCUAAAACAUGCAAGUCGAACGAACCUUCGGGUUAGUGGCGCACGGGUGAGUAACGCGUGGGAAUGUGCCUCUGGGUGCGGAACAACGUCGGGAAACUGACGCUAAUACCGCAUAAUGUCUACGGACCAAAGAUUUAUCGCCCAGAGAUCAGCCCGCGUCUGAUUAGCUAGUUGGUGAGGUAACGGCUCACCAAGGCUACGAUCAGUAGCUGGUCUGAGAGGAUGAUCAGCCACACUGGAACUGAGACACGGUCCAGACUCCUACGGGAGGCAGCAGUGAGGAAUAUUGGUCAAUGGGCGGAAGCCUGAACCAGCCAUGCCGCGUGCAGGAUGACGGCCCUACGGGUUGUAAACUGCUUUUCCCCGGGGCGAAUAACCCCCUCGCGAGGGGGAGUGCCGGUACCGGGGAAUAAGGAUCGGCUAACUCCGUG